CCUACGGGAGGCAGCAGUGAGGAAUAUUGGUCAAUGGGCGCUAGCCUGAACCAGCCAAGUAGCGUGAAGGAUGACUGCCCUAUGGGUUGUAAACUUCUUUUAUAUGGGAAUAAAGUGCAGUAUGUAUACUGCUUUGCAUGUACCUUAUGAAUAAGGAUCGGCUAACUCCGUGCCAGCAGCCGCGGUAAUACGGAGGAUCCGAGCGUUAUCCGGAUUUAUUGGGUUUAAAGGGUGCGUAGGCGGACUGGAAAGUCAGCGGUAAAAUCGAGAGGCUCAACCUCUUUCCGCCGUUGAAACUGUCGGUCUUGAGUGGGCGAGAAGUAUGCGGAAUGCGUGGUGUAGUGGUGAAAUGCAUAGAUAUCACGCAGAACUCCGAUUGCGAAGGCAGCAUACCGGCGCCCGACUGACGCUGAGGCACGAAAGCGUGGGUAUCGAACAGGAUUAGAUACCCUUGUAGUC
rnacentral:rRNA from 1 species